rnacentral:rRNA from 1 species
CUACGGGACGCUGCAGUGAGGAAUUUUGCGCAAUGGGGGAAACCCUGACGCAGCGACGCCGCGUGGACGAUGAAGGCCUUAGGGUUGUAAAGUCCUGUCAGCAGGAAAGAAAUGUGCAUAAGUUAAUACCUUAUGCAUUUGACGGUACCUGCAAAGGAAGCACCGGGUAACUCCGUGCCAGCAGCCGCGGUAAUACGGAGGGUGCAAGCGUUAAUCGGAAUUACUGGGCGUAAAGGGCGCGUAGGCGGCCCUGUUAGUCAGAUGGGAAAGCCCCCGGCUCAACCGGGGAAGUGCAUCUGAAACUGCAGGGAUUGAAUAUGGGAGAGGAAAGUGGAAUUCCCGGUGUAGAGGUGAAAUUCGUAGAUAUCGGGAGGAACACCAGUGGCGAAGGCGACUUUCUGGACCAAUAUUGACGCUGAGGCGCGAAAGCGUGGGGAGCAAACAGGAUUAGAUACCCCAGUAGUC